CAAAACUUUGAUGGCUUGAUCACAAGAUAACACUGUUGAAGGCAGAUCUGCACUGGGGAAUUCAGCACAAGUUAGAAGACCGUAAUGUCGGCAGUUCCUUUGAGAUGGGUCAACUCCGCAAUAUGUGAAACCUUCUGUGCACCCUAAUGGGAGAAAGGUACUGUAUCGGACCACAACCUCUGUCUCUCUCUCCCUUUACACUUGUUGUGAAGGCAUUAGAAAAUUUCUGUGUGUUAAUUGAAGUCUUUAAUUGUAGUUUGCAGAUAGUGAUUUUCUGUGGGGAGAUAAACAAUCACAGAGACAGCAACUCUCUAACAUUCUAACUAUGGAGACAAUGUGACAUGAUGAGGGGAGGUGUAAAAAGAACUCCUUCAACAUAAAUCUUCAGGAAAUGUAGCUCUUUCAGUUUUAGUAAACUAUAGGGGCUUUCUGUAUACUCUGCUGACUUUUCUAUCAAUACAGCAAGGAGGAACUACUUGUCAUGGCCUGAAGCAAAGAAAGCAGCCAAAGCCCGGCAAUGUUGGAAAACUUUAGUACAGGCCUUAGGUUCCUCCAGGAACAAAGAGGAUUAAUUAAAGGAGACUACCAUGCUAAUUUAUCUGUACAAACUCUCUCCUAUCGGAUUUAAAGGCUGCAUAUUCCACAGGUAUGCUUGAGUGGGAUGAUGGAAGAAGAUGGGAUGAGUGUUAUGUAUUGUAUAUUGUAUAUGUAUUUUUGAUGUGACAUCAAAAUCACAACAAUGGAAAUUGUGACUGACUAGUCAUUGUUGCUUACAAGCAGAAACAUGCAUAUGAAAUAAUUAUUUUAUCCAUAAAACCUACACAGUGUACAAAACAUUAGAAACACCUUCCUAAUAUUAAGUUGCACCCCUUUUUGCCCUCAGAAC